GGGGAGGCCUCAGUGUCUCCUCUCCUUCGGGAGAACGGAAGGACGCCUGCGGCAUACUAUUUACAUUUGCCACAAAGCCUGCACUCAACUGAUAUUGCCUGCAUUUAAUAGAAUUUAACAUAAAUGAUUGAGGAUUACCAUCCCCCAAACAGACCUAAUCAGGAUGAAUUUGUAAGAAGGCAGCCAUCUUCAAACUCAGCAAGUUUUAAUUCUCGCCCUGAGCCAAGCCACCCAGUGAAACAUUUCCUGUGAACCUUCUCAGAAGUGGUUUUCAAGUGGAUAUAUGAAGCCUUGCAAAUCACAUGGGCUAGCACUUGAAUUGUAGCUCAGAGUGAACAUGGACAAGCGUCUUAAUUCUCUGAAACGGUCUCUUCAUCUGUAAAAGAAAGACCUACCUUCUGGAUUGUCAUGUAGUUGGAUCAGCAGCCUCCCAAACUUUAAUGUGUGGAUGAAUCACCUGGGAGGUUGUUAAAAUGCAGGCUCUGACUUAGUAGGUCUAGGAUGGCCCCAAGGGUCUGCAUUUCUAAGAGCUCCUAGAAGUGGAGCUGACGUUGUGCUGCAUGAGCCACGCUCUGAAGAGUGACACAACAUCUGCCAGAGCCCGGGCACGGAUGUCCUAGCUGUGCUUGUUCCUCUCCUUCCAGGGGGCCUGGGUUUUCUGGCUGCUUGAUGAGCCCACCUCAGAGAAGCGCUGACUGAGAUCUCUUAAGGUGCAACCCAACUCACCUGAGCUUCAACCUAGUCCUAUUUUCUCCCCACUUCAAUAUCCUUACUUUGUUUUUUUCUGUUCAAGGACUUCAUUCUUCUUUGGCCUAACAAAGAUACUGGUACCUAUGCUUUUAGGUUAUAAUUUUUAAUUAAUUAUUUUAUUUUUGGCAUUUUUAGAUUUUAUUUUAAUUAUUUAUCUUAUUCAAAAAUAAAAUAAUAAAAUAAUUAUUUUAUUUUUA